GAUUUUUAAGAGUGUUCUAAUUAUUAUUAUUAUCCAAAAUUAUAGAUGUUAGAUCUUUUUAUUAUAUUUAUGUUGGAAUAUGAAGUUUAUAUUUUAAUUAGCGAUAUUUUAGUAGUUUAUUAUUGUUGAUAUUAUAUGUUAAUUCAACAAUACUUUGGAAGUGUUUAAUCUACAAGUAUAUUUCGGAAAACGAUUUUGAAUAACUUGGAGUUCAAAAGGAUAAUAUCGUUAUAUGUUAGUUUAUCGUAGUUAGAAACAUUUACAGUAUUAAGUUAGUAAGUCGUGUUGUAUUUUAGAUGUGAAUAGAAAAGAAAACCCGAAAAUCAUAUACACCACCCCUUGUUGUUUUAGUCGGUCAAUAAACCAAAGGCCCCCAUGUCGUUUAAUUGAAAAACCCCAAAACCCCCAUGUGUGUUUCAUUUUUCCCAAAACCCCAAAGUCCUCAUCCCCUGUUUCCUUCGUCUCCCUCUGUUUGAAUUCCCCCAUCCUCAUCGGAGCUUCUCGCCGCCGCAAGCUAGCGGCGCUAUUUUAUGCUUUCCCUCUCUCCUCUACUCAGUUAGUUGUUGUUGCGAAUUGGCGGUUUUGCCGCCGUGGUUGUCUGCUCCUCCACUGCCCAGCUGUCGUGGUGGUGUUGUGUUGUUGAUGUUGGGUUGUUGUUUGCUAGUCUCCACCGGUUGUCUCUCUCUCUCCUCUGAUUUCUAUUGCGUGUUGUUGCUGGUGCGUCGGUGCUGCUGCCGACACAGUCCCGCAAUGCUGCUGCCGCCACUGUCGCGGUGUUGCAGCUCAAUUCUAGCCACCAGUGAGUUGAUACUAGAGCAGGUUUCUUGUUGGAUUCGCGAAGUUUAAGGUGAGGAUGGAAAUUCAUAGAGGAACUUUAUAUUCGAAAACUUACAAAUGUAAAUUGUACUUGGGUUUAAAUAUGUAUUAGUUAUAUUAGUCUUGUUGAGGUUUCGAUUGAAGAUUUCUUUAAUUAGUUUGUGAUACUGAUUAGUGCCAUUGGGUUUGAUUCCCUCUUGAGGUUGUUUCCGCAAAAGCGUUGUCGGUUUUAGGAUUUGAGAUGGAGAAUAUUAUAUUUUAUUGAGUUUGUAAACAGGUUUAAAUUAUUUCCCACUUUGGGUUGUCCAAUUUUCAGAGGAAAUGCUAUCGAAA